AGAGUUUGAUCAUGGCUCAGGACGAACGCUGGCGGCGUGCCUAACACAUGCAAGUCGAGCGGGAACCUGAGGAGGGGUAACCCUUCUGAGGGGAGAGCGGCGAACGGGUGAGUAACACGUGGGCAACCUGCCCCGGACACCGGGAUAACCCAGGGAAACCUGAGCUAAUACCGGAUACUCCGGCGUGAUCGCAUGGUCGCGCCGGGAAAGCUCCGACGGUCCGGGAUGGGCCCGCGGCCUAUCAGCUUGUUGGUGGGGUAACGGCCCACCAAGGCGACGACGGGUAGCUGGUCUGAGAGGACGGCCAGCCACACUGGGACUGAGACACGGCCCAGACUCCUACGGGAGGCAGCAGUGGGGGAUCUUGCGCUAAUGCGCGAAAGCGUGACGCAGCGACGCCGCGUGGGGGAUGAAGGCCUUCGGGUUGUAAACCCCUUUCGGCAGGGACGAAGGGAAACUGACGGUACCUGCAGAAGAAGUCCCGGCUAACUACGUGCCAGCAGCCGCGGUA
rnacentral:rRNA from 1 species